rnacentral:rRNA from 1 species
GAUGAACGCUAGCGGCAGGCUUAAUACAUGCAAGUCGAGGGGCAGCAUGAGUGUAGCAAUACAUUUGAUGGCGACCGGCAAACGGGUGCGGAACACGUACACAACCCUCCUAUAAGUGGGGAAUAGCCCAGAGAAAUUUGGAUUAAUACCCCGUAACAUAAUGAUGUGGCAUCACAUUAUUAUUAUAGCUUCGGCGCUUAUUGAUGGGUGUGCGGCUGAUUAGAUAGUUGGCGGGGUAACGGCCCACCAAGUCUACGAUCAGUAGCUGAUGUGAGAGCAUGAUCAGCCACACGGGCACUGAGACACGGGCCCGACUCCUACGGGAGGCAGCAGUAAGGAAUAUUGGUCAAUGGACGCAAGUCUGAACCAGCCAUGCCGCGUGAAGGAUUAAGGUCCUCUGGAUUGUAAACUUCUUUUAUCUGGGACGAAAAAAGGCGAUUCUUCGUCACUUGACGGUACCAGAUGAAUAAGCACCGGCUAACUCCGUGCCAGCCGCCGCGGUAACAC